rnacentral:rRNA from 1 species
UACGAAGGGGGCUAGCGUUGCUCGGAAUCACUGGGCGUAAAGGGUGCGUAGGCGGGUCUUAAGUCAGGGGUGAAAUCCUGGAGCUCAACUCCAGAACUGCCCUUGAUACUGGCGGUCUCGAGUCCGGGAGAGGUGAGUGGAACUGCGAGUGUAGAGGUGAAAUUCGUAGAUAUUCGCAAGAACACCAGUGGCGAAGGCGGCUCACUGGCCCGGUACUGACGCUGAGGUGCGAAAGCGUGGGGAGCAACAGG